UACGUAGGUGGCGAGCGUUGUCCGGAUUUAUUGGGCGUAAAGCGCGCGCAGGCGGUGCGGUAAGUCCGUCGUGAAAUCUCCCGGCUCAACUGGGAGGGUGCGGUGGAGACUGCCGGACUGGAGGCACUCAGAGGCCGGUGGAAUUCCCGGUGUAGUGGUGAAAUGCGUAGAGAGUCGGGAGGAACACCAGUGGCGAAGGCGGCCGGCUGGGGGUCGACCUGACGCUGAGGCGCGAAAGCGUGGGGAGCGAACCGG
rnacentral:rRNA from 1 species